rnacentral:rRNA from 1 species
UUGAGGACUCAGUGACGCAGCUAACGCAAUAAGUAGACCGCCUGGGGAGUACGGCCGCAAGGUUAAAACUCAAAUGAAUUGACGGGGGCCCGCACAAGCGGUGGAGCAUGUGGUUUAAUUCGAUGCAACGCGAAGAACCUUACCUGGUCUUGACAUAUCUAGAAUCCUGCAGAGAUGCGGGAGUGCCUUCGGGAAUUAGAAUACAGGUGCUGCAUGGCUGUCGUCAGCUCGUGUCGUGAGAUGUUGGGUUAAGUCCCGCAACGAGCGCAACCCUUGUCCUUAGUUACCAGCGGGUUAAGCCGGGAACUCUAAGGAUACUGCCAGUGACAAACUGGAGGAAGGCGGGGACGACGUCAAGUCAUCAUGGCCCUUACGACCAGGGCUACACACGUGCUACAAUGGUAGGUACAGAGGGCAGCUACACAGCGAUGUGAUGCGAA